CUGCUUUCUUCAGCAGCACGUACUCUAAAAUUAUAAUGACACUGAGAGGAUUAGCAUGGCUCCUGCCCAAGGAUGACACACAAAUUCAUGAAGUGUUCCAUGUUUUG